GACCCGGGUCGUCUUAUCGCCUCGCUUUCUGGCGGGGAGGAAAGUCCGGACAGCAUAGAGCACCCUACUUCCUAACGGGAAGGCGGACGGCGGGUAACCACCGUUCGACAGCCAGUGUCACAGAAAAUAUACCGCUUUCCAGCGUGGGGCAUUGGGUUGGGGGCUUGGGGUGCGCUGCUAUAUCGCAUAACGGUGAUAAGGCAGAAAUCCCUCAGCCCAGAGCUCUAUGCCCCACGCCCGGAAAGUAAGGGUGAAAAGGGGGUGUAAGAGACCACCGCGCGCUGGGCGACCAGCGGGGCAUGAUAAACCUUAGGGGCUGAAAGAUCAAAUAUGUGUUGGACGAGGGGCUGCUCGUCUCCACGUCACUUUCGGGUGGCUGCCAACACGGGUAGAUCGAUAGAGGGAGCCGGUGACGGCUCUCCCAGAUAAAUGAUAAGACGGUUCGGUGCGCCUACGGGUACGGUCGGGCCGACAGAAUCCGGCUUAUAGAUCCGGGUCGAUG
rnacentral:RNase_P_RNA from 1 species